GUCACCGCCGCCAUGUUCCUGCAGUGCUACGAGAACGAGCGCGGGGAGCGCGUUUAUACCCUCAAGGAUUUUGUGUGAUUUUCCCCUCAGAAAGUGUCCCCGUCUGGGCUCCCCACACGCUCGGCCCACCCCGCCCGCUUCUCCCCCGAUGACAAAUUCUCGCGGCACCGCCUGGCCCUGAAACGGAGAUUCGGGGUCCUGCUCACCCAGCGGGGCCGGGCCCUGCUCUGAGGGACCCCAAAAACCCAAAAUCCCCCCAAAAACCCCCAUGGAGCAGAUGGAGCUCAGUCAAACCCGCUGAGCUGAACGGCGUGGGAGAAGGGGGUUAAACAAGAGGAAAUUGUGAAUAUUAAAGGAUUUGGGAGCUUGGA